rnacentral:rRNA from 1 species
AUUGAACGCUGGCGGCAUGCCUAACACAUGCAAGUCGAACGAGUGGCGGACGGGUGAGUAAUGUCUGGGAAACUGCCUGAUGGAGGGGGAUAACUAAUGGAAACGGUAGCUAAUACCGCAUACCAUCAGAUGUGCCCAGAUGGGUUGAGCUUGUUGGUGGGUUAACGGCUCACCAAGGCGACGAUCCCUAGCUGGUCUUAGAGGAUGACCAGCCCAACGGGAACUGAGAAACGGUCCAGACUCCUACGGGAGGCAGAAGUGGGGAAUAUUGCACAAUGGGCGAAAGCCUGAUGCAGCCAUGCCGCGUGUAUGAAGAAGGCCUUCGGGUUGUAAAGUACUUUCAGCGGGGAGGCGUUACCCGCAGAGAAAGCACCGGCUAACUCCGUGCCAGCAGCCGCGGUAAUAC